GUCGCACGAGAAAGGGGAGCAAUCCCUGAGUAAAGUGGCGCACGGGUGAGUAACACGUGAAUUAUCUACCUCCGAGUGGGGAAUAACUGAGAGAAAUCUUAGCUAAUACCGCAUAACACUUACGAGUCAAAGCAGCAAUGCGCUUGGAGAGGAGUUCGCGGCCGAUUAGUUAGUUGGCGGGGUAAUGGCCCACCAAGACGAUGAUCGGUAUCCGGCCUGAGAGGGCGCACGGACACACUGGAACUGAAACACGGUCCAGACUCCUACGGGAGGCAGCAGUGGGGAAUUUUGCGCAAUGGGGGAAACCCUGACGCAGCAACGCCGCGUGGAGGAUGAAAUAUCUUGGUAUGUAAACUCCUUUCGAUGGGGAAGAUUAUGACGGUACCCAUAGAAGAAGCCCCGGCUAACUUCGUGCCAGCAGCCGCGGUAAUACGAGGGGGGCAAGCGUUGUUCGGAUUUAUUGGGCGUAAAGGGUGCGUAGGCGGUUUGGCAAGUCUUAUGUGAAAUCUUCGGGCUCAACCCGAAGCCUGCAUAAGAAACUGCCGGGCUUGAGUAUGGGAGAGGUGAGUGGAAUUUCCGGUGUAGCGGUGAAAUGCGUAGAUAUCGGAAGGAACACCUGUGGCGAAAGCGGCUCACUGGACCAUAACUGACGCUGAUGCACGAAAGCUAGGGGAGCAAACAGGAUUAGAUACCCUGGUAGUCCUAGCCCUAAACGAUGAUUGCUUGGUGUGGCA
rnacentral:rRNA from 1 species